UACAGAGGUCUCAAGCGUUGUUCGGAUUCAUUGGGCGUAAAGGGUGCGUAGGUGGCGGGGUAAGUCAGGUGUGAAAUCUCGAGGCUCAACCUCGAAACUGCACUUGAUACUGCCUUGCUAGAGUACUGGAGAGGAGAUUGGAAUUUACGGUGUAGCAGUGAAAUGCGUAGAUAUCGUAAGGAAGACCAGUGGCGAAGGCGAAUCUCUGGACAGUUACUGACACUGAGGCACGAAGGCCAGGGGAGCAAACGGG
rnacentral:rRNA from 1 species